rnacentral:rRNA from 1 species
AGUGAACGCUGGCGGUAGGCCUAACACAUGCAAGUCGAACGGAAGCACAGUAAGAGCUUGCUCUUACGGGUGGCGAGUGGCGGACGGGUGAGGAAUACAUCGGAAUCUACUUUUUCGUGGGGGUUAACGUAGGGAAACCUACGCUCAUACCGCAUACCACCUACGGGGGAAAGCAUGGGAUCUUCGGACCUUGCGCGAUUGAAUGCGCGGAUGUCGGACUGGCUGGUUGGCGGGGUAAUGGCCCACCAAGGCGACGAUCGGUAGCUGGUGUGAGAGACUGAUCAGCGACACUAGAACUGAGACACGGUCCAGGCUCCUGCGGGAGGCAGCAGUGGGGAAUGUUGGACAAUGGGCGGAAGCCUGAUCCAGCCAUACCGCGUGGGUGAAGGAGGCCUUCGGGUUGUGAAGCCCUUUUGUUGGGAAAGAAAAGCAGCAGGUUAUUACCCCGCGGUUCUGACGGUACCCAAUGAAUAAGCACCGGCUAACUUCGUG